UACAGAGGGGGCAAGCGUUGUUCGGAAUUACUGGGCGUAAAGGGCGCGUAGGCGGCCUUCUAAGUCGAACGUGAAAUCCCCGGGCUCAACCCGGGAACUGCGUCCGAUACUGGAAGGCUUGAAUCCGGGAGAGGGAUGCGGAAUUCCAGGUGUAGCGGUGAAAUGCGUAGAUAUCUGGAGGAACACCGGUGGCGAAGGCGGCAUCCUGGACCGGUAUUGACGCUGACGGCGCGAAAGCCAGGGGAGCAA
rnacentral:rRNA from 1 species